UGCAAGGUUGCCUCAACAUACACGUC
rnacentral:piRNA from 1 species